GUGCUCUUCUCAUCAUCUAUAUCAUUAAUGAAGAUGUUAAAACAGUAUUGGACCCCGUACUGACUCUGUGUAUCUCCCCUCCAGCAACGUGCUGAAGGCCCAGGAGGAAGCAGCCUGCGACUAGCCAGGCAGAGCAGCACUUCAACCUCCCUGAUCCUGGUGACACCAAUGUUUGCUAUGAGCUAUCCAUUUUCAAGAACCUUUAACAACUUAUGUGGGAAAACAGGAAAAUACAGGGUAUCUUCUUCAGAGUCAUCCAGCUCUUCCUCUGAAAACACUUCCAAGUCAUAUUCUUUGCUUAACUGAGGCACUACAAAUGCUAAAUCACGUAACUCUGAAAGGACGUCUGCCCUUUCCAAGACAUGCAGAAAACAGUACCCGAGAGUCAUCAAGAAGUGGACUGUUUCAUUUUGACUAAACUGUGCCAUGGUGCAUUCUUCUGGAAGAAUCAUUUCUGGUUAACAUGUAAGGCAGGGAAACUUUGAGAGGUGGAAUUUUACAGGGGCUGCCAAUCCCAGAAGAGAUGACAAGAUGUCUCAAACUAGGAAGGAUUUGGAGGCCUUCAAGUGCCAGAAAAGUCACUGGGAGUGAAGAAUUCUCAGCCUUUAAGAGGGUGCUUAGCACUAUGCAGUACUGAGCCAUGAAUUGCAGUGCUACACUCAGCUGUUUUCCAGUGGUUUUAGUAU
rnacentral:lncRNA from 1 species